rnacentral:rRNA from 1 species
AUGUCUGCAUUGAGACCAGCAUGGGGGAACCCAAGAGGAUUAUCAGCAAAACCAGUGGGAGAUAAUACGUUUAUUGUGGAAUUUGCAAACAAGGAAGACUUGGACACAGUUGUGGUAGGGGCUCGUUGGACAGUGGGAAAACAUGUUGUUUUGUUGGCAAACUUUGAUCCAAGACUGAAGCCUUCUGAAGUCACUUUGGACAGAAUCUCUUUGUGGGCAAGAAUCAAAGACCUUCGUUUUGAAUUAAUGAAUAGAACUCGGGGAGGAUCUCUAGGUGCUAAAAUUGGUACAGUAGAGAAGGUUGAUGUAGAUAGCCAAGGUAGAGCUUGGGGCAACUAUUUGCGAGUCCGAGUUUCUGUGGAAAUCUCGAAGCCGCUAUUGAGAUGGAUCACUGCAUACUCGAAGAAAAAGAAAGCUUAUGAGAUAUAUGAAGUGCAGUAUGAAAGAAUUCUACACUAUUGUUUCUCAUGCGGCAUCAUUGCCCAUUCUUCACUAGAAUGUCCAACCCCGGGAGAACGAGAUGAGGAGGGUAAACUUCCUUAUAAUGCAGAUAGGCUGUGCGUGAAGGACGACAGAAAGAAAAAUAUUUUGACCUCAUGGUCAGGACAAAGCCCAUAG